UCUUGGGAGGUAAUUUGGCGUCAGUGCACAGCCUUCCCCAGUAUCGUUUCCUUCAGUCUCUCAUCAAAGAGAGUAGAGUUCAGUGCACCUGGAUUGGAGCCUACGAUGCAAUGAAGGAGGGUCUUUGGCUGUGGAGUGACGGGUCCAGGUUUAACUACCAGAACUGGGCCCCGGGGCAACCCUCUAACUACAACCAUGGUUUUGUGAAGGACAUCACGAAUGGCCGGGGGCAUUGCAUGGAGAUGAACUGUGGAGCUUCCCACCGCCAGAAUGAUGUUCCCUGCUGGUUUAAACUUCCCUUCCUGUGUUCCAGAAAGCUGUGAUGUCCACAUUUUAGGAGAGAAUAA